UGCCCCCUGGCCUUCACAAGAAUGACAGCACUCCCCUGAUCAGGAAGACACGUCUCUCUGUCUUAUGCAAGGUUCUCUUCAGGAGAGAUACUAACUUGAGCAUGUAGCAAAAGGAGAGAUCCUACCCUCCACCCUUUCCUUCUCCAGAAGGGAGAGCUUUUAUUGUUUUGAAAAUUGCAGAUGAGAAAAGGGCAAACUUUCAGGCUCGUCUUGCCCAAGAUGCUCCAAAACUUACAAGCCAGCACCUGUUUGGAGCACGGAUGGGUUUCUCUAGUUCCUUGCUCAGAAUGUCAGAAGAGAUCAUUCAGGCUAAGAAUAGGAAAACCAUCUGGACUGAACCUAGGGAGAAACGUGGAGAAGGGAAGAAACACGCUGCCAUUAUUCUUCAAACGUCCACCAUGUCGAGAGAGUAGUCAAGAAAAGGCUUAAGACCACAAAGGAGCUAACUAAUUUCAUGGAGGGGAGCCAUGCGAAGACCUUCACUUCAUAACUGCAAGGCAAGUGAGACAUCAUUGUCCUCUGGAGCUCCACCCUAUUCAUCCAUUUCUGCAACAUCAUGGAGAUAUGUACGACGGCGUUGCAGUGGUGUGCAAUGGGUUGUGAGAAUAACCUUGAGGAACAGGAGGAAGAGCCACA